UUUGUUCUAAACAGGUGUCAUCAAAAAGUUUGUGUUCUACACAUGUGAUAUCAACAUGUAUGUACUCUCAACAGGUGACAACAAAAAGUUUUGUGUUCUACACAUGUGAUAUCAACAUGUAUGUACUCUCAACAGGUGACAUCAAAAUGUUUUUUUUAACAGCAAUAACAAGUAUUAUGAGACACAACUUUUUUUUAUGAAAUAUAUGUCCGUAUUUCAUUUAUGGGAUAAUACAACAUUUUGUACAAAGGGAGACAACCAGAAUUUUACAGUCUGC
rnacentral:lncRNA from 1 species